AAGUUUGUCAUUCUCUCCUAGCAACAGCUUGGGUCGUUCUAUAGGCUACAAACGUAUCAUACAGGCCUAUUGUUUCCAACAACCUUUUUGGGCGAGACGCAUUAAACUUAAUCUAGAUAACACGAAUGCCCGCUGCAAAACACGGUCAAAGUAAAAUAGCUAUCAGGAUACGCUUCCUUGAAAUAUAAAGUAAUAAACUCGUGCAAAAGGUGGUUCCCAUUCAGCAUGUGUUCCAAGCUCGGAUCCCACGGCAGACACUAUUCACAUGGAGGAGAGAUAAAUUACAGACCGCACAUUCAGCACAUAGAGCCCAGCCUAACAGAGGUAGCUAAGAUACAGAACAGGCACAGUGACCUUUGCGAGCUAAAUCCAAGUCCAGCGCGUUGAGAGGAUCUAAGAACACCAGACUGUGUGACCUUGACUGGAGCUCUGGUCUGCGGUGGCUGCCUGCACCUCGCUACAGUGAUGCUCCACUCCCUCACAUCAACUUGAUCAAGUUCCCUGAAGAGACCAGACUGCUCAGGUCCUUCCCACAGGCCAACAUGGUGUCCCAGACUGAGUGGACGUUUUAUCCCAACUUUGGUCAGCCCAGAACCUUCCAUGUUGGCAAACGCUGUUUGCUGGAGGGAGGUCACCAGUAUAGGACCAUACGGUGUUCUUCAGAGAGAACUCUGGAGGUCACCAUCGGGAGGAAAAAACAAGCCAGGUUUACCUGCCAUUCUGCACCUGGUUCUAGACCCUAUCUAACACCUGAGUACAGUCCUGACUUUCACAAGUUUGGAUCAACACUGCCAACAACACAUUUUGGGUCACUGACCUUCAGUGCAGAUACAUUCGUUCCUCUUCAGCCACCUCCAAAAAAGACAUGUAUUCCAUAUGUAGCGAGGAAGAGGAUGGAGGACAGGGAGGCAGACAUACUGGAAGUGAAGAAGCUGAGUAAAUGGAGGCCUGCACCAGUCAUAUUCAAAACUGUGCUGGACAACUGACAUGUCAAAAUGUUUUUUGGAUGAAUGAGGAGAAAUGGAUAACGAUUUCAAACUGUAUAUUAUGAUCAUUCGGCAUGAUUACAGCCACGUGGUUUUGAUUCUACUGUAGUUUGAUAAGGAAGUUUGGUGGGAGGGGGGGAUCAAUGAUGUAAUAAAGUGUGACUAAUUGUCAUGACAUCAUUUGGAGCGUUUGCCAUCACUAUUCACUUUUGAACAAUUGGGUUAUGCAAUUUGCUGAGGGGAGAUAAGCAACAAUAAGCCAAGCAGGGAAAAACAGUUCCCAGGUGGCCUGACUUUGCUGAGUUCCAAAAGCAGUUAGGUCAGCAACAGUUGAUAACCUGACCUCUGUUUUGCCUUAUAGUCUGGCAGAGGUGCAUCGCAUAGAUUUCCUUAAUUCCCAGGGGAAGAUAAGUGGUGGGCUCAAUCCCUCAUUCAGCAAAACAACACUGCUGAUCCCGUUCAGGAUAGACAGGGACAACUAAGGCUGCCACUAUUAGCUGUUUAGUCACUUCAGCAUGCCUCAAGGUUAGGGAGGGGGUGUGUACAGGUUUUUAAUAAUGGUCCCAUGUAUCUCUGCAUUCAUGACAUGUCGGAUCAAGGAAACUCUGAAUUUUUACGACAUUGUAGAAAGAUGAUAGGCGGUAGGCCGGUCAGAGUUUUCCAAUUGGAAAGCAUCAGAAUCAACAAAUAAAAAGCUACACGCAAAUAACUUAUUUCGGAGGUUUGGCGGUUCCGACGUGAUGAAUGCAGCAUCUGUGUUAAGGUACGUUUUCAUUUGCGGAGGCUUUCCAGACCGACAAGCAAAGGGUAGAGCAGGAAUCGUAUAGGUCAGUGGGUUAGCCUGGGCAUGUUCAGUACAAAAACGUUUUUGAAUGUUUCCUUUAAGUGUACUUUUUUGAGAUUACUAAUGUUACUGUCCCACUACAAAAAAACAAUUUAAUUGAAAUACUGUAGAAUUCUAUUCAUUCCUAUGGAGGACUGCUCCUACUGGGGAGUGCCAAUACGGACAACCGGUGCCUUCAAAGCCUCUCAAUGGCCAAUAAAUAACAUCAGCAAUCCAGAGUUUAUAUACAUCGUUGUUACCCACUUCUCUCUACGUAUGUGACACUAGCCACAAUAGUGGAAUUUGUUUUUUGUCUGUAAAAUCUAAGUCCCUCAUUGAAAGUGAUGCAAACGGAUACAAAUAGUGGAUUCAUGCCAUAUUUGGA